ensembl:lncRNA
UGAAUGGCAUAAUUCAGAAUCAUGCCUGUACUCUCCACCCCUGAUUGCCCAAAGUGUAGUUUUUCUACCUAGCAUAGUUAGUUCUUCUCCAAAAUGGUUUACUCAGCAUGUACCUUAAAUCUGUAAGGGGUUGAGGCAUCAAAAGGGUUCAAGUAAAAGAUGAAGCUAUGGAUCGCUCUCUUGUGUUUAGCUCCUUCAAAAUCAAUUGAGAAAUUUAAUUGUGAUUAAUUAUCUAAGCAUCUUUCAGUUUUACUUUUUCAAGAUUUGUGUUUCAUUACCCAAGCCCCUAGUGGAUUUGAUAUUUAUUGUCCACAGUGAGUGUUUUGUAAAAUGUUAUAAAAUAAAGGUAUUCAUUUCUUAAUUCACAGCCUCCUGGGAGUUCAUAAUGGUGCUGAUUGUUUUAAAAGUAAUCGAGUGUUUAAAAAUAUCUUGAAAAUUAACAGGACCUGUUUUUUUGAAAAUGCCAUUAAGAGCAAUCACAGAUUCCCUGAAGAGAAGCUUCAUAGGACCAUGCACUUCAGCUGUCAAUUAUUUCUUCUUGCUGUUCCUAUAAUUUUAGCCUUUAGCACAACUAACUGAAUUGAGCUGAACUUGGUAUUCACUUCUCCUACCUUAGCAGAAGUUCUCUAUUUAGGUAUGAGUACAUAAAAAAUGUAAAGGUUAAAACAAUUAUAUUUAUUUUUAAAGGACAACAGGUUCCCGUGUUGUUAAGGAGACAUAAUGAAACUGACUGCUAUUAGUUCUGUUCACUCUAAGUGGUUAGGGCCUGAGGGCACUGGGAACAGUGUCCCAAUGAGAGUAAAACAACUCAAUUGAUAACAAUUAACUAGAAAUGGAUUUUACCUUUUCAGAUGUUUUCUUAUCUCUUAUCAAGUUACCCCACCCACCCUGAAGUCCAUUAUAAUUGUUACAAAUGGGAUAUAUUUUAAACUUUGUGAGGAAUGCCAAGCAGAUUACUCUAGCUUUACAUAAAGGAAACUUUUACCAUUCCUACACCACCUCCUUUUCAUUCCUCUUGAAAGUCUAUUGUUUUAUUAACAAUAUCAGACAAGCUGUAUAUUCAUGGAUAAAACAUAUAAUACAUGAAAAAUGUGAGGAACCAUUGGGUGAAUCAGACCCUAUAUGAUCAGAUUUGAAACUUGAGGUGGCUCUAAUUGUUCUUUUUGCAAUGAAGCAAGGAAUGCUAACUUUAGAAAAAAUAACUUGAGAUACUAUCCACUAGAUCACUCAGCCUGUUCUGUCAACUAUAAAUUGAAAUUAAUGCUAGCUCUCAUGGAGUAUUGUAUAAGGCAUAGAUACAAUUGUGUUUAUAAACCGUCCACUUCCUUGUCCAGCCCCUGGGCAGCGUAACACUAAAUACAAGCAGAUUAAGGAACUGCAAGCUAAGUGCCUUGCUCAAGGCCACCAAUCCAGUAUUUCUCCUGCCUAGUCCAGUAGUCUCACUACACUGAUCUCACUUCAUUACUGGGAAGUAUAUGUUUGUCUUCACAGGAUGCAAUAACUGUCAUUCCCAUUUCCAUUGCAAUUUGGUAUCAUGAAUCAUUGAAGUUGCAAGGGGGCAUAAGAUCCCAUCUGUAGCUUCCUGCCAAUUUGCCCCCACAAUUUGCUUGUAGGUCUCAAUUUGGGGAUUCUAUUACUUGUUGGGCGUACUUGCUUAUAUUCAUCUUAUUAGUCUGUAAUCUUAUUAUGACUUGUGCUCUUUCAUUCUGGGUUUGCUGAAAAAAAGACAACAGCUCAAUUCCUACUUCU